rfam:Rhizobiales bacterium 63-7 SCNpilot_expt_1000_bf_scaffold_1483, whole genome shotgun sequence.
CUUCCUCGAUCUGCUGCGGGCAGAUGAAAGGGAUAUGGCUGUCCAUGCCGCCGGCGGUGACGAUCUUGCCUUCCCCGGCAAUCACUUCCGUGCCCGGCCCGACGAUGAUGGUCACGCCCGGCUGCGUAUCCGGAUUACCAGCCUUGCCGAUGGCGACGAUGCGCCCAUCCUUCAGCCCGAUAUCGGCCUUGACGAUGCCCCAAUGGUCGAGGAUGACCGCAUUGGUGAUGACGGUAUCGACCGCGCCCUCGGCGCGCGUCACCUGGCUCUGGCCCAUGCCGUCGCGGAUG